UACGGAGGGUGCAAGCGUUGCUCGGAAUCACUGGGCGUAAAGCGCCCGCAGGCGGCCUGACAAGUCGGAUGUGAAAGCCCUGGGCUCAACUCAGGAAUUGCAUUCGAAACUGGCAGGCUUGAGUACGGGAGAGGGGGGUGGAAUUCCUGGUGUAGGGGUGAAAUUCGUUGAUAUCAGGAGGAACACCGGCGGCGAAGGCGGCCCCCUGGCCCGCAACUGACGCUCAUGGUCGAAAGCGUGGGGAGCAAACAGG
rnacentral:rRNA from 1 species